rnacentral:lncRNA from 1 species
AUGGCAAAACUCACCCUUACCUUUUUUUAAACUCCAAAUGACUACCAUAAUCCCUCAUUUCCUAUCUCCAGCCACCUCUGAAACCUCUCGUCUUUAAAACUCUCUCAAACUCUCUGAAACCGUAGCCCCUCUUCAACCAAAACUCCACCGGAAUCCAUGGCUUCUCAGGUCAUGGAUGGUUGGUACUCACUCCCCUCCAUCAGUAAACCAUGGUUGUUCGAAGUUUCGAGAUCGGAACUCAUCGAUUCCCUUUCAGAUCUUCUUAGAUUUGUAGAUCUAUGGCUUCUCUGGCCAUUACUCCGGCAUAUUCGAGCAAUAUGAGUCUUUUCAACUCAGGAUCUGACUUUCCU